rnacentral:lncRNA from 1 species
AAUUAUAAAAUUACAUAUAUAGUUUCUUAAAUUAGAGAAAUGAUAUAUGUACAAUUAUAUAUAAUCAUGUGUAUAUAUAGUAUGGAUACAUAUAUUAUUUAUACAUGUACAUGUGUUUAUAUAUAUACACACACACAUACACAAUGACUAAUAUGGGAAAUACAAAAAUUAGUACUAAAAUUCUAGACAAACCCUACUGGUAAAAAUAGAAGAAAUUAACGUGUUUUUAGGUCUUUGCCUUGUUCAGAAAGAGAAUAGAACUGCUGAUUAAUUUAUUCUUUAUUAACUCAAAUAUGAACAUUAGUGCUAUGAACAGUAAAAGGUACAUGACACCUAAUUUGUGCUUGUGGUAAUAGUAGACAUUCUUGUAGAAAAAGAAAAUCUGCUGAGCACAUUAGAAACACUUGACGAACUAUGAAAAAUCUGUUAGGAGGCCUUCAAGAGCUAUCAAAAUAGCAAGGAUAUAAAUGUCUAUUAUACACACAUAUAUAAACUCUCUCCUUGAAAAUCAGAGAAAUGCAAGCUGAAAUGAGAUAUCGGAGUUCCUGUUGUGGCGCAGCAGAAAGGAGUCUGACAAGUAACCAUGAGGUUUUGGGUUCGAUCCCUGGCCUCGCUCAGUGGGUUAAGGAUCCGGUGUGGUCGUGAGCUGUGGUGUGAGUCAUAGAUGUAGCUCAGAUUCUUCAGUGCUGUGGCUGUGGUGUGGCUGGCAGCUGUAGCUCCAAUUGGACUCCUAGCCUGGGAACUUCCACAUGCUGCAGGUGUGGCCCUAAAAAACAGACAAAUAAACAAAACAAGAGCGAAGGGUAAACGUCAGAAUGUUUGAAAAUAGCACAGAAUCACUGAUAGGUAUGAAAAAUAGACGUAAAAUGAUGUGGUGAAAAAUUGAUACGCAGCAAGAUACGCCUGAAUUCAGCACUCUCAGCAGAGCCGUUUCUUAGCCUUUGCUUAAUGUCAGUUUAACAAAAGUGCCUUUAUGGUUGUAUCCCAGGAACUUCCGGAGAAUCAUACAAACACCUCAGCCAUGUCCAGGCGACUCCGGCUACUGUGAGCCUUAACCUAAAAAUCACCUUUUUUCCAGAGGGCAAGAGCGGGUUGUGCUGGCUUGGGCGGAACCGAUGGUAUUUUCAAGAGCGAGAGGAAUUUUUCAGUGUCCCCAGAUCUGUUUCUUGCGUAUCGCUGCUUCGAUGGGUAUGCCACGUCACUGUGCAAAUACAAAUGUGUACUUUUUAAAUUUUUUUUCCAGUUUUUGAAGUUUUAUCGAAGCAUAGCUCGUUUACAAUGUUGUGAUUAUUUCUGCUAUACAACAAAGUGAUUCAGUUGUACCUACACACACAUCCAUUGUUUUUCGCAUCUGUUCUAGGUUAUUAUAGAAUGUUGGAUAGAGUUCCCUGCGCUGUUCAGCAGGUCCCCAUUGGCCAGUCAUUCCAUAUACCACAGUGUGCGUAUGCCAAUCCCCAACCCCAGUCCAUCUCUCCC